rnacentral:rRNA from 1 species
UACGUAGGCGGAAAAUUAAGUCAGAGGUGAAAGUUUGCGGCUCAACCGUAAAAUUGCCUUUGAAACUGGUUGUCUUGAAUUAUUGUGAAGUGGUUAGAAUAUGUAGUGUAGCGGUGAAAUGCAUAGAUAUUACAUAGAAUACCAAUUGCGAAGGCAGAUCACUAACAAUAUAUUGACGCUGAUGGACGAAAGCGUGGGGAGCGAACAGGAUUAGAUACCCUGGUAGUCC